rnacentral:rRNA from 1 species
GACGAACGCUGGCGGCGUGCUUAACACAUGCAAGUCGAACGGAAAGGCCCAGCUUGCUGGGUACUCGAGUGGCGAACGGGUGAGUAACACGUGGGUGAUCUGCCCCUGACUUUGGGAUAAGCCUGGGAAACUGGGUCUAAUACCGGAUAUUCAUUUUUCCUCGCAUGGGGAUUUGUGGAAAGCUUGUGCGGUUAGGGAUGGGCCCGCGGCCUAUCAGCUUGUUGGUGGGGUAAUGGCCUACCAAGGCGACGACGGGUAGCCGACCUGAGAGGGUGAUCGGCCACACUGGGACUGAGACACGGCCCAGACUCCUACGGGAGGCAGCAGUGGGGAAUAUUGCACAAUGGGCGCAAGCCUGAUGCAGCGGCGCCGCGUGAGGGAUGACGGCCUUCGGGUUGUAAACCUCUUUCAGCUACGACGAAGCGCAAGUGACGGUAGGAGCAGAAGAAGCACCGGCCAACUACGUG